UGGGGAAUAUUGGACAAUGGGGGGAACCCUGAUCCAGCCAUGCCGCGUGUGUGAAGAAGGCCUUAUGGUUGUAAAGCACUUUAAGCGAGGAGGAGGGUACUGGUAUUAAUACUACCAGCUACUGGACGUUACUCUCAGAAUAAGCACCGGCUAACUCUGUGCCAGCAGCCGCGGUAAUACAGAGGGUGCGAGCGUUAAUCGGAUUUACUGGGCGUAAAGCGUGCGUAGGCGGCUAAUUGAGUCGGAUGUGAAAUCCCCGAGCUUAACUUGGGAAUUGCAUUCGAUACUGGUUAGCUAGAGUGUGGGAGAGGAUGGUAGAAUUCCAGGUGUAGCGGUGAAAUGCGUAGAGAUCUGGAGGAAUACCGAUGGCGAAGGCAGCCAUCUGGCCUAACACUGACGCUGAGGUACGAAAGCAUGGGGAGCAAACAGG
rnacentral:rRNA from 1 species